AAAUUGAAGAGUUUGAUCAUGGCUCAGAUUGAACGCUGGCGGCAGGCCUAACACAUGCAAGUCGAACGGUAACAGGAAGCAGCUUGCUGCUUUGCUGACGAGUGGCGGACGGGUGAGUAAUGUCUGGGAAACUGCCUGAUGGAGGGGGAUAACUACUGGAAACGGUAGCUAAUACCGCAUAACGUCGCAAGACCAAAGAGGGGGACCUUCGGGCCUCUUGCCAUCGGAUGUGCCCAGAUGGGAUUAGCUAGUAGGUGGGGUAAUGGCUCACCUAGGCGACGAUCCCUAGCUGGUCUGAGAGGAUGACCAGCCACACUGGAACUGAGACACGGUCCAGACUCCUACGGGAGGCAGCAGUGGGGAAUAUUGCACAAUGGGCGCAAGCCUGAUGCAGCCAUGCCGCGUGUAUGAAGAAGGCCUUCGGGUUGUAAAGUACUUUCAGCGAGGAGGAAGGUGUUGUGGUUAAUAACCGCAGCAAUUGACGUUACUCGCAGAAGAAGCACCGGCUAACUCCGUGCCAGCAGCCGCGGUAAUACGGAGGGUGCAAGCGUUAAUCGGAAUUACUGGGCGUAAAGCGCACGCAGGCGGUUUGUUAAGUCAGAUGUGAAAUCCCCGGGCUCAACCUGGGAACUGCAUUUGAAACUGGCAAGCUUGAGUCUCGUAGAGGGGGUAGAAUUCCAGGUGUAGCGGUGAAAUGCGUAGAGAUCUGGAGGAAUACCGGUGGCGAAGGCGGCCCCCUGGACGAAGACUGACGCUCAGGUGCGAAAGCGUGGGGAGCAAACAGGAUUAGAUACCCUGGUAGUCCACGCUGUAAACGAUGUCGACUUGGAGGUUGUGCCCUUGAGGCGUGGCUUCCGGAGCUAACGCGUUAAGUCGACCGCCUGGGGAGUACGGCCGCAAGGUUAAAACUCAAAUGAAUUGACGGGGGCCCGCACAAGCGGUGGAGCAUGUGGUUUAAUUCGAUGCAACGCGAAGAACCUUACCUGGUCUUGACAUCCACAGAACUUAGCAGAGAUGCUUUGGUGCCUUCGGGAACUGUGAGACAGGUGCUGCAUGGCUGUCGUCAGCUCGUGUUGUGAAAUGUUGGGUUAAGUCCCGCAACGAGCGCAACCCUUAUCCUUUGUUGCCAGCGGUUAGGCCGGGAACUCAAAGGAGACUGCCAGUGAUAAACUGGAGGAAGGUGGGGAUGACGUCAAGUCAUCAUGGCCCUUACGACCAGGGCUACACACGUGCUACAAUGGCAUAUACAAAGAGAAGCGACCUCGCGAGAGCAAGCGGACCUCAUAAAGUAUGUCGUAGUCCGGAUUGGAGUCUGCAACUCGACUCCAUGAAGUCGGAAUCGCUAGUAAUCGUAGAUCAGAAUGCUACGGUGAAUACGUUCCCGGGCCUUGUACACACCGCCCGUCACACCAUGGGAGUGGGUUGCAAAAGAAGUAGGUAGCUUAACCUUCGGGAGGGCGCUUACCACUUUGUGAUUCAUGACUGGGGUGAAGUCGUAACAAGGUAACCGUAGGGGAACCUGCGGUUGGAUCACCUCCUUA
rnacentral:rRNA from 1 species